rnacentral:rRNA from 1 species
UACAGAGGGUGCAACCGUUGCUCGGAAUUAUUGGGCGUAAAGCGCACGUAGGCGGUUCGUUAAGUCAGAUGUGAAAGCCCCGGGCUCAACUCGGGAAGUGCAUUUGAAACUGGCGAGCUUGAAUAUGGAAGAGGGUCGCGGAAUUCCUGGUGUAGCGGUGGAAUGCGCAGAUAUCAGGAGGAACACCGAUAGCGAAGGCAGCUCGCUGGGACGGUACUGACGCUGAGGUGCGAAAGCGUGGGGAGCGAACAGG